CUUACUUUAAACUGCCCUGUUUUUGUCUGAGGUGUAACCUGGUAACAAUCCCACCUUACUGCUGUGAAGUGUCUAAUUCAGUCUGAAGAUCAACAUGAUCUGAGAUGCUGAAUCAAUAGAAAAAUAGAUAAUUCCCAAAAUAACAAACAUUUUUGUUAAGUAUACUUCAGUGAAAAUCAGAAAUGAGAAGAUUUUCAAGGAGAUCAUUUCAGAGAAUGCUGGCAACAGGACCUGUAAUCUCAUAAACGAAUUUAUAAAGCUGUCAACAAGGACUUGGUGCGGAUCAGCUGCAUAGGAGCAGUUCACACCCAGGGAGCCUUCACAGAAAGCCUUUGUUCUUCUGGUAAGAGUGCCAAACAAGAAUGCAAUCAACUGCAGACUUCUGCC
rnacentral:lncRNA from 1 species